GAGUUCUAUUCAUCUUUGAAAAACUAAACAAAGAAUUCCUAACCAGUGGUUAUCACAGACCUGAUGGAGCUGUUCACAUGCAAUCUUCACUUGGAGAUACAAUGUUUCUGUCUCCAUGUACUUGAUUAUGUAGAGUGAACACAGAGAGAUUGGUGAACUUUCUGAGGAGUGGAGAGCACAUCUACCUUGUCAGAAGAGAAUUACUGGACUAUAAAUUCAGACUUGAAGAAAGCAGACAUCCUGGAAAUGUUGUAUUUGGAGAGUAUUGCCAUCCUGAAUAGAAUCAAAAGCAGGAAAAGAUGAGGUCCACCUUCAGAUGAGAUGUCUAUAAACUCCUAUGUCUGCUGAGAGCUGAGUCUUCAAAGUCAUCAGCAUUGAUCAGCAAGGAUGGAGGAUACAUAUAUUUAGAGCUCAUGCUUCAGCUGAGGAGUUCAGCAAAUGUCUGAAGACUGAAGCCAUGGCACCUGCAGCUUGUCACCACACAGUUAAGCAGGUGUUGAGAGAUGGUAGCAUGUGAAGUAUGCAACACAGAGGUGAGCAGAGAUAAAACCUAGGAAGCUCAU
rnacentral:lncRNA from 1 species